rnacentral:lncRNA from 1 species
UCGGUUUAAACUAAGGCAACUGUCGUUGCUACUCAUUGAGCUUUGGCUUGAUGACUUUUUAGGUAAUUCCGAAUUUGUUUCUUCUCCGUCUGAAUAAUUCCGCAACAUUUUACGAUUCCUUUCCACUUUGAAAAUCAAAUUCAGCGGUGAAAAACUACCUAUAGCUGAAUUAGUCCUUGAAACUUUAAGAAGCAAUGGAUUUAAUUUACUCUUUAUCGAAUCAGAUGCGAAGAAAAUUGCACCAACAGUGGAGAAUUUAGAUACUUGGCACUUAAAGAGAGAAAAUUAGAAAAGAGCAGAAGAAUAAUUAAACAGCAGCUUCAAAGUCAAUGUCUGAAAGUUGAACGAGAGGGGAGUUUCAUUUGGACCGCCAUUAAAGAGAGCUUUAUUGGAGAAUCCGUACGGGAACUGAGAAGGAUUGUUUAAACGCAGAUGAUGAAUGCGAG